rnacentral:rRNA from 1 species
GAUGAACGCUGGCGGCGUGCCUAAUACAUGCAAGUCGAACGAACAGACCAGGAGCUUGCUCCUCUGACGUUAGCGGCGGACGGGUGAGUAACACGUGGAUAACCUACCUAUAAGACUCGGAUAACUUCGAGAAACCGGAGCUAAUACCGGAUAAUCUAUUGAACCGCAUGGUUCAAUAGUGAAAGACGGUUUUGCUGUCACUUAUAGAUGGAUCCGCGCCGCAUUAGCUAGUUGGUAAGGUAACGGCUUACCAAGGCAACGAUGCGUAGCCGACGUGGGAGGGUGAGCGGCGACACGGGAACUGAGACACGGUCCAGACUCCUACGGGAGGCAGCAGUAGGGAAUCGUCCGAAAGGGGCGAAAGCGUGACGGAGAAGCGCCGCGUGAGUGAUGAAGGUCUUCGGAUCGUAAAAGUCUGUUACUAGGGAAGAACAAAUGUGUAAGUAACUAUGCACGUCUUGACGGUACCUGAUCAGAAAGCCACGGCUAACUACGUG